GACGAACGCUGGCGGCGUGCUUAACACAUGCAAGUCGAACGGAAAGGCCCUGCUUUUGUGGGGUGCUCGAGUGGCGAACGGGUGAGUAACACGUGAGUAACCUGCCCUUGACUUUGGGAUAACUUCAGGAAACUGGGGCUAAUACCGGAUAGGAGCUCCUGCUGCAUGGUGGGGGUUGGAAAGUUUCGGCGGUUGGGGAUGGACUCGCGGCUUAUCAGCUUGUUGGUGGGGUAGUGGCUUACCAAGGCUUUGACGGGUAGCCGGCCUGAGAGGGUGACCGGCCACAUUGGGACUGAGAUACGGCCCAGACUCCUACGGGAGGCAGAAGUGGGGAAUAUUGCACAAUGGGGGGAAGCCUGAUGCAGCAACGCCGCGUGCGGGAUGACGGCCUUCGGGUUGUAAACCGCUUUCGCCUGUGACGAAGCGUGAGUGACGGUAAUGGGUAAAGAAGCACCGGCUAACUACGUG
rnacentral:rRNA from 1 species